rnacentral:rRNA from 1 species
GACGUAGGGCGCGAGCGUUGUCCGGAUUUAUUGGGCGUAAAGGGCGCGUAGGCGGGUCAGCAAGUCAGAUGUGAAAACCCGGGGCUCAACCCCGGGCCUGCAGUCGAUACGGGCAGACUAGAGUGCGGUAGGGGAGACUGGAAUUCCUGGUGUAGCGGUGAAAUGCGUAGAUAUGCGGAGGAACACCGAUGGCGAAGGCAAUCCCCUGGACCUGUACUGACGCUCAUGCACGAAAGCGUGGGGAGCAAACAGG